rnacentral:rRNA from 1 species
CCUACGGGGGGCAGCAGUGAGGAAUAUUGGUCAAUGGGCGGGAGCCUGAACCAGCCAAGUCGCGUGAGGGAAGACGGUCCUAUGGAUUGUAAACCGCUUUUAUAAAGGAAUAAAGUGAGGCACGUGUGCCUUUUUGUAUGUACGUUAUGAAUAAGGAUCGGCUAACUCCGUGCCAGCAGCCGCGGUAAUACGGAGGAUCCGAGCGUUAUCCGGAUUUAUUGGGUUUAAAGGGAGCGUAGAUGGGUUGUUAGGUCAGUUUUGAAAGUUUGCGGCUCAACCGUAAAAUUGCAAUUGAUACUGGCAGUCUUGAGUACAGUUGAGGUCGGCGGAAUUCGUGGUGUAGCGGUGAAAUGCUUAGAUCUCACGAAGAACUCCGAUUGCGAAGGCAGCUUACUAAACUGCCACUGACAUUGAUGCUCGAAAGUGUGGGUAUCAAACAGGAUUAGAUACCCUUGUAGUC